ACACUGGUACUGAGACACGGACCAGACUCCUACGGGAGGCAGCAGUGAGGAAUAUUGGUCAAUGGAGGCAACUCUGAACCAGCCAUGCCGCGUGAAGGAUGAAUGUCCUAUGGAUUGUAAACUUCUUUUCUUUGCCAAGAAUUAUCAAUACGUGUAUUGGUUUGACUAGCUUAGGAAUAAGCAUCGGCUAACUCCGUGCCAGCAGCCGCGGUAAUACGGAGGAUGCAAGCGUUAUCCGGAUUCACUAGGUUUAAAGGGUGCGCAGGCGGAAUAAUAAGUCAGUGGUGAAAUCUUGCGGCUUAACCGUAAAAUAGCCAUUGAUACUGUUGUUCUUGAGUUCGGUUGAGGUAGGCGGAAUGAGUAAUGUAGCGGUGAAAUGCUUAGAUAUUACUCAGAACACCGAUUGCGAAGGCAGCUUACUAAGCCGUUACUGACGCUGAGUCACGAAAGCGUGGGGAGCGAACAGGAUUAGAUACCCUGGUAGUCCACGCCGUAAACGUUGAUUACUCGUUGUUGGCGAUACACAGUCAGCGACUGAGCGAAAGCAUUAAGUAAUCCACCUGGGGAGUACGUCAGCAAUGAUGAAACUCAAAGGAAUUGACGGGGGCCCGCACAAGCGGAGGAACAUGUGGUUUAAUUCGAUGAUACGCGAGGAACCUUACCUGGGCUUAAAUGUAGAGUAGUCCCAUAACGAGCGCAACCCUCAUCGUUAGUUGCCAUCAGUUCGGCUGGGGACUCUAACGAAACUGCCGGUGCAAACCGUGAGGAAGGUGAGGAUGACGUCAAAUCAGCACGGCCCUUAUGUCCAGGGCUACACACGUGUUACAAUGGUCAGUACAGUGGGCAGCUACUUGGUGACAAGGCGCUAAUCUCCAAAACUGAUCCUAGUUCGGAUCGGAGUCUGCAACUCGACUCCGUGAAGCUGGAUUCGCUAGUAAUCGCACAUCAGCCAUGGUGCGGUGAAUACGUUCCCGGGCCUUGUACACACCGCCCGUCAAGCCAUGGAAGCUGGGGGUACCUGAAGUCCGUGACCUUCACAGGAGCGGCCUAGGGUAAAACUAGUAACUGGGGCUAAGUCGUAACAAGGUAGCCGUACCGGAAGGUGUGGCUG
rnacentral:rRNA from 1 species